GUCAGAGCAUCCACUCGAAAGCAGAGAAUUUCUGAAAAACAAAAUAAUGUCAUCAUAUGAUGUUAGAAUUUUUUUUCAAAUGAUGGUUCCUAAUACUUCACAUUAGAAGAACUCAAAUUUGAUGACCAGUUUGAGAAACACCAGUAUAACCAGAUUACAAGAAAGAGCAAGUCAAAAGGAUGAUCAUGAAUAUAACAACUUCGAGGAAACAUUUAAUCAAAAACCAAAGCUUUUUAAACAACUGAGAGUUUUUAUAAGAAAAAGACCUCAUACAGUAGUCCCCACUUAUUCAUGGGGGAUACAUUUCAAGAUCCCCAGAGAAUGCCUGAAAUCACUGAUGUACCAAACCCUAACCAGGUUCUUAGUAUGAGCUACUAAAUGACAAAUGGGUAGGUAGUACAUACAGUAUAGAUAUACUGGACAAAGAAAUGAUUCACAGCCCAGGCAGGACAGAGCAGAUCACACAAGAUUUCAUCACAGUACUCAGAAAACCACACCAUUUAAAAGUUAUGAAUUGUUUAUUUCUGGAAUUUUCCAUAUAAUAUUUUUGACCACAAUUGCCUAUGGAUAACUGAAACCAUGGAAAGUGGAACUGUGGAUAAGGCAGGACUACUGUAACUAUGACAUCAAUGGUAGGAACCUGAAGCAUAAUUCUGCUGUAGUGGAUUUUUUCAAAAGAAACUCAUGAAUGAAAAAUAAUUUAUUAGAUAUAAGAAAGGAUGCAUUUGUAUCUCAAACUUUACUUAUUCUGGAAAUGAAUGAAAAGCCAACACCUAUUACAUACCCACAAAAAUGAAAAAAUAAAUAAAUGUAAAGCCAUAGUUCAGUACUGAUGGAAUCUGAGAAAAUUUAUAUGACAGUGAACCCACACGUCUGUAUUGAAUGUGGGAAAGGCUACACUUGUAUUGCAUCCCUGACCCAGCAUCAGAAAACACAUAUCAGAGAGAAACCUUAUGAAUGUAAAAUAUGUGGUAAAUUGAAGGCCAGAGACAGGAAUUUGCCUAAAUCACAGAGUCUCACAUUGUCAUCCAGUCUGGAGUGCAAUGGCAUGACCUCAGCUCACUGCAGCCUCCGUCUCCUGGGUUCAAGCAAUUCUCCUGCCUCACCCUCUCUAGUAGCUGGGAUUACAGAGCAUCAAAAUAUUAUUUUUGUUUAUGUGGCCCCAGGACAGAUAAAACUUGUACUGGUGCAAAAAUACAUCCCAGUCAUAACCAUUAGUCAUGAUAAUGGACGCAAUGUCGUUGACAUACAUGAAACGGACUAUGAUAAUUAUAUAUUUUUUUAUAACAAGAAUAUCAAGAAUGGGGAAACAUUCCUAAUGUUGGAGCUCUAUGCUCGAACACCGGAUGUGAGCUCACAACUCAAGGAAAGGUUUGUGAAAUAUUGUGAAGAACAUGGGAUUGAUAAGGAAAACAUAUUUGACUUGAACAAAGUUGAUCGCUGUCUCCAGGCCUGAGAUGGGGGAGCAGACUAGGACUCCAGUGCUGAGUGAAAGCUUCCUCACCUGGACUCCAGUAUCUUCCCUUCCUGGUCCCCAUGUCCUCUUAUAACAAGUUCUGUGACUUGAUUUCCAUCAUAUCACACAUGAAGACAUCAUCCCUGCAUCUUUAGGAUCUUCCCUAACUGCCUAAGAAGACUCAGAAAUUCACCAAGAAUCAAAGGUUUUCUUUGAAUUUCUGACUGUCUUUGUCACAGCCAGGGAAACUCUACAUGAAUAACACCUGACUCUACGUGA
rnacentral:sRNA from 1 species